UACGAAAGUAGGCUUCCGCAAGGACAUCUGUAGAGGUGCUGCAUGGCUGUCGUCAGCUCGUGUCGUGAGAUGUUGGGAAAAAAACCCGCAACGAGCGCAACCCUUGUCUUCUGUUGCCAUCGGGUUAUGCCGGGCACUCUGAAGAGACUGCCGGUGACAAACCGGAGGAAGGUGGGGAUGACGUCAAGUCAGCAUGGCCUUUAUGUCUGGGGCCACACACGUGCUACAAUGGCCGGUACAAACCGUCGCGAUCUCGCGAGAGGGAGCUAAUCGGAGAAAGCCGGUCUCAGUUCGGAUUGUACCCUCUAUUUUUCGCCUGCAUGAAGUUGGAAUCGCUAGUAAUCGCGGAUCAGCACGCCGCGGUGAAUACGUUCCC
rnacentral:rRNA from 1 species